UGCACCAACAUAAUCAAACACGGCACCUUUUGGGUACCACGAUAUCGCCGCGAUUGCUGCUCUCUGCUGGAAUACGCCGCCGAUCUCGCCGGAACCAUGGCGUCCGGCAGAUACAUGGCCUAUUCGCCGUCCCCCUCCACCGCCACGCUCCCCUCACAUCUCCGGUAUGCCCUCGGCUGAUAGACCCCUCGUCGAGCAGGAGAAGUUAGCUUGUCACUCUUUGAGAUGUUUGAAUUGGGCUAAGGCAGUGGAGAGCUAUUCAGAAUUAUGGGCAAGUCUUGUUGGUUAUUAUGUUAUUGUUGUAUAAGCAUAUUUUGUAUCUAAUGAAAUGUUGUCGAUGAAUCGAAAUGGAUAUACCUUGUAAAAGUGUUAGACGAUCUCUCUUAUUUGGAAUUUCGGAAUGUUAAGUCUAAUUUAUGAUGAUAUGAACUUGUGGUGAAUAGUUGGAGUUCUGAUUGUAUAAUUUAUUUAGCUUGUGGAUUUAUAAAUGUUGUUCAUAUUUGUCAA